rnacentral:rRNA from 1 species
AGAGUUUGAUCAUGGCUCAGAAUCAACGCUGGCGGCGCGCCUAACACAUGCAAGUCGAACGAGAAAGUGGAGCAAUCCAUGAGUAAAGUGGCGUACGGGUGAGUAACACGUGGAUAACCUGCCCUCCAGUGGGGAAUACCGUUGGGAAACCGACGACAAUACCGCAUAAGCUCGAGAGAGGAAAGCAGCAAUGCGCUGGAGGAGGGGUCCGCGGCCGAUUAGCUUGUUGGUAGGGUAAUGGCCUACCAAGGCUUUGAUCGGUAGCCGGCCUGAGAGGGCACACGGCCACACUGGCACUGAAACACGGGCCAGACUCCUACGGGAGGCAGCAGUGGGGAAUCUUGCACAAUGGGGGAAACCCUGAUGCAGCGACGCCGCGUGAGCGAUGAAGCCCUUCGGGGUGUAAAGCUCUUUCGGCAGGGAAGAUUAUGACGGUACCUGCAGAAGCAGCUGCGGCUAACUACGUGCCAGCAGCCGCGGUAAUACGUAGGCAGCAAGCGUUGUUCGGAGUUACUGGGCGUAAAGGGUGCGCAGGCGGUCCUGUAAGUAUGGUGUGAAAUCUCCCGGCUUAACUGGGAGGGUGCGCUAUAAACUGCGGGACUAGAGUGUGGGAGAGGAAAGUGGAAUUCCUGGUGUAGCGGUGAAAUGCGUAGAUAUCAGGAGGAACACCGGUGGUGCAAACGGCUUUCUGGACCAUAACUGACGCUGAGGCACGAAAGCGUGGGUAGCAAACAGGAUUAGAUACCCUAGUAGUCC